UUUCACUCAAAUCUGUGGCUUCUAAGGUUUAUGUGCUAUUUCAGUUUGGCGAAUGACUCCUUAUUUCGAGUCAGAAAAAGAAGCCCUUUAUCCAAAGCGCCUCAGGAAGGCUUUUCUUGGCGACUUCAUGUUUUGUGCAACCAAAAAUGCUGUGAUUUCGGUGUACGUGAAUCAGGAAGAAGCUGAUUUGUUUCUCCAGUACCUCCUGGGGUUAAUGCGUGAGAAGCAAGGAGCGAUUCUCAUUGGAAAGACAACCAGAACAACAACCUACCCUCCCUGAAUGUCCUGGGGGUUCCCAGCCCCGUGCUCGCCCACACCCCAGCCCCACCAGGCUAAGUCUCAAACGAUACCUGCCCAGAAAGGCUUUAUACAACUUGCUGAGCAAACAUCUUAGUUCCGGUUUGGGGUCACGAAAUCUUCGAAAGUGGAAACGACGCUUUGCCGGAGUAGAAUUUGGUGAGCACGUGGUGGCAAUGGUAGCGAUGGCGGGCUGGAACCCGAAGUUCAAGCCCAGCUUUCCCAUGUAAACGCCGUGUGACGCCGGGCCAGCUGCUGAACUUCCCUAAGCCUCAGUUCGCUGCUCUGCAAAAUGGAUGGAAUUCUGACGUCUGUCUCACCAGCAUAAUGUGAGCGAGAAUCAAAUAAGAGAGUCUACAUGUAUAUAAAUAAAAGUACUGGGUAAGC